UUACGGGGGGGGCAAGCGUUGUUCGGAAUACUGGGCGUAAAGGGCUCGUAGGCGGCCAACUAAGUCAGACGUGAAAUCCCUCGGCUUAACCGGGGGAACUGCGUCUGAUACUGGAUGGCUAGAGGUUGGGGAGAGGGAUGCGGAAUUCCAGGUGUAGGCGGUGAAAUGCGUAGAUAUCUGGAGGAAUACCGGUGGCGAAGGCGGCAUCUGGACCGGCAUUGACGCUGAGGAGCGAAAGCUAGGGAGCAACGGG
rnacentral:rRNA from 1 species